rnacentral:lncRNA from 1 species
GCUUGGUACCGCUUCUAAAGCUCUUCUUUUAAGCCUAAUCCCAAUUGCAAAGUCUCAGAAUAGCCAAAUUAAUUCUGCCAAUCACGCUUGAUUGCACCUGGUCAGAAUCCCCUGACCAAAAUGGCUAACUAGGUCACACCAUGUGUGUUCGAACCACCCGCACUACCAAUAAUGUGGUGUUCGUCUUGGGGAAAGACUAUUUCCCUUGAAAGGAC